CCUACGGGAGGCAGCAGUGAGGAAUAUUGGUCAAUGGGCUUACGCCUGAACCAGCCAAGCAGCGUGAAGGAUGACUGCCCUAUGGGUUGUAAACUUCUUUUAUAUGGGAAUAAAAUGUUCCACGUGUGGGAUUUUGUAUGUACCAUAUGAAUAAGGAUCGGCUAACUCCGUGCCAGCAGCCGCGGUAAUACGGAGGAUGCGAGCGUUAUCCGGAUUUAUUGGGUUUAAAGGGUGCGUAGGCGGAAGGUUAAGUCAGCGGUCAAAUGUCGGUGCUCAACACCGGCCUGCCGUUGAGACUGGUCUUCUUGAGUGAGCGAGAAGUAUGCGGAAUGCGUGGUGUAGCGGUGAAAUGCAUAGAUAUCACGCAGAACGCCGAUUGCGAAGGCAGCUUACCGGCGCUCAACUGACGCUGAGGCACGAAAGUGCGGGUAUCGAACAGGAUUAGAUACCCCAGUAGUC
rnacentral:rRNA from 1 species